rnacentral:rRNA from 1 species
AUUGAACGCUGGCGGCAUGCCUUACACAUGCAAGUCGAACGGUAACAGGUCUUCGGAUGCUGACGAGUGGCGAACGGGUGAGUAAUACAUCGGAACGUGCCCGAUCGUGGGGGAUAACGAAGCGAAAGCUUUGCUAAUACCGCAUAAGAUCUACGGAUGAAAGCAGGGGACCGCAAGGCCUUGCGCGAACGGAGCGGCCGAUGGCAGAUUAGGUAGGUGGUGGGAUAAAAGCUUACCAAGCCGACGAUCUGUAGCUGGGCGGAGAGGACGACCAGCCACGCUGGGAACGAGACACGACCCAGACUCCUACGGGAGGCAGCAGUGGGGAAUUUUGGACAAUGGGCGAAAGCCUGAUCCAGCCAUGCCGCGUGCAGGAUGAAGGCCUUCGGGUUGUAAACUGCUUUUGUACGGAACGAAAAGACUCUUUCUAAUAAAGAGGGUCCAUGACGGUACCGUAAGAAUAAGCACCGGCUAACUACGUGCCAGCAGCCGCCGCAG